rnacentral:rRNA from 1 species
CUACGUAGGGUGCAAGCGUUAAUCGGAAUUACUGGGCGUAAAGCGUGCGCAGGCGGUUUUGUAAGACAGUGGUGAAAUCCCCGGGCUCAACCUGGGAACUGCCAUUGUGACUGCAAGGCUGGAGUGCGGCAGAGGGGGAUGGAAUUCCGCGUGUAGCAGUGAAAUGCGUAGAUACGCGGAGGAACACCGAUGGCGAAGGCAAUCCCCUGGGCCUGCACUGACGCUCAUGCACGAAAGCGUGGGGAGCAAACAGGAUUAGAUACCCUGGUAGUCCACGCCCUAAACGAUGUCAACUGGUUGUUGGGGAUUUAUUUUCUCAGUAACGAAGCUAACGCGUGAAGUUGACCGCCUGGGGAGUACGGCCGCAAGGUUAAAACUUAAAGGAAUUGACGGGG